ensembl:lncRNA
GUGAGUAAUGUGCACGGGAACAAGGCAGCGCGUUCGGACUGAUUAAAUCCUGAGGGAAGUGCUGACGUAUGAAAUGGAGUAUACGGGUUUAAUGGUGAGAAACCUGAUCCACGUACGUGUUUAACACGAGUGAUCACAUGCAUGAAACGUUCACAUCGAGGAGCGGGCUAUUUGGACACUUAGCAUGUCAUAAAGUAUAUAUGAACAAUGCAUAAUGUAAGACAUUUAUGAUGAAAAGAUGUGAAACAGAAUUUCAGAUUUAGCUAUAUUCAAAUAUAUGAAUAUUUCACAUGGAAAUAUAUAUAUAUAUAUGUAUGUAUGUUGUUUGUGCUUUUAAAUAGGGCAAAAUAUAGUAUUGUACAGUUUUGAAAAAAACAUCAGCGAGAGUGAUGGAGGACGCUUGGACGUGACAAACAACUAGAAAAGAAUGUCUAGUUUGAGCUUCUUUUUUAAGUUUUCAUGACUAAAUAAAGGAAAUUUUAUUUUGGUUAAUCAGCAUUUGUUAAUUAACGUAUUAAGGGUUGAAGAAUUUAAUCUUUGGCAGAUUAUAGUCAGUCAUUUAUAAAAAAUGAAAGUGGAUAGCGAAGGAUUAAGUAAUGUGUAGCGGCUGCCAUGAAACUUUCCAUUAUGUCAAUAGGAAGCAACUGUGGCCUCACAAGCUGUAAUAUUUGACAUUUCUUUUGCAAAAGUGUUUUUCGUAUAUGAAGUGGAAGCAGUGUAUUCAUGAGCUUCCUCGGCAUUGUUUGAACUUGUCUUACAAACGCUUGAAUGUCAAGGUUGUUUGCUUACAUGUAGAGGUUUAGCUGUAGUUCAGUUUAGCAACUGUAUUCAGUCCCUCCGGAACGUUUGCGUAGAUACUUAGAAACCGGUGCGUCCGGUGCAACCGGUUGGAGCUUAGCAACAGCAGAUACAAGCGGCUCCUACUCGAUCGAGAGGCCAAGCCGAGCGGAGUGGUUGUUUCUGCAGUGACAAGUCAAACUCUCGGAUGGGACAACACAUGAGCUACAAUGACGCCCCGGAGCUCUGUGGAGCUGCACAUCCGUUAGAAAUGCGGGGGAAAAAAGGGACAGUGGAACAUCUGGUUGAAGUCCUCCGAUUCACUGCAGCACUGCACAAAUAAACACAUUGUACCUGCUCUUUGGGACUUCACACUUAAACACAUAAACACCCCCCCACACACACACCAUAAUGUGGUCAGUGCAAAUUCACACCGUGCACCGUCACACUUGAAGGGAGUUCACUGUGCUUUCAUUCUGCAAAGCACAUUUCUCCCUCCUUUCCGUCCGUCUCUUAAUUGCUGUUAGAGAUGACUAAGUGUAGCGAUGAGUCACUACAGGUCUCAGGAACACACACACACACACACACACACACACACACACACACACACACACACAGACAGACCGGAGACUACGGGGGACUAACGGGAACCAGAACAGGAAAACAAAAAUAUUUCCGUGGUUGAAAAGAGGAACCUGCUUCCAGUAAAAGUAAAGAAGAAGUUAAAGAGGGUGUGUGUGUGUGUGUGUGUGUGUGUGUGUGUGUGUGUGUGUGUGUGUGUGUGUGUGUUAAUUAAAGCUGGGAGGAGAUCUUUGGAGGGGAGAGUGAGCUGCCAAAGGCUUCUGGCAGAUGCGCUGCAGACUUCCGCCUCGUUUCAACCGGCUCCAACCGCAUGAUUUGCUGCAGUGGGACAGCUCACAUCACUCAAAUAUGUCAAACAACAACUCUUCCACACGAAGGUUUGUCCCCAUCUUCUCCUUUCUUACUGUUUUUACGAGAGAAACUUUAUGAAAAGACGUAAUAAGAUGCAGCCUGUGAUUGGAAGCAUUUUUAAAAAUUUCCUGGCAGAAACUAAACACUCGAGCACAGCUGAUUGGUUGUUGUUUGGCCAGUGAGGUAAACAUUCCCACCAGCGCAGCAGCUUUUACAUUUCCAUGUUUCAGGACUGAAACACCACGGUGUUGGGUCUGAGUCAGAGGGUUACAAAUCAAAACCGAACGUUGUUGGGGGAGAAUUUGUUGCGCUGCAAAUUGUUAAUGUCUCCAAACGUGUUGGAAGAAGAUGCCACAGCUAGAUGGACCUUGUUGAGUUAAGUGAACACACACAAUCAGCCAGAAUGCAAAGCGACAUCAAUGUAACGUAGUUACUUAAUAUGUUUAUUUUCCUUUUUUCUUUCAGAUUGUUCUUUAAUGUACUGUGGUGCUCUGGUGAUAAGUAAUAAGUUGAUGUACUUGACCGAAAAUGUAGUUGUGUUUGUGAUUUUUAAAGCUGAAAUAGGGUAUUUUCAGGUUGUCAGCUUGUAUGGGGUUGUAGAUCAUAAUGUUGAUUUCAG